rnacentral:pre_miRNA from 1 species
UUUGACUCUUCAUCUUAUUUAAAAUUUUCUAUGAUUAAUAUUUUUAUAGUUACUACAUUAUAAAACAUAAAUAGUACUUUACAUACAACUAUUUUUUUUAAUUUCUUAAUAAAAUUUUCAAAUAAGACGGAUGGUCAAA